rnacentral:lncRNA from 1 species
AGCAGACUCCUGAUGCUGAUCGCCUGGGCUCCCACUUCUCUGCCUCGAGCAGGAUAGAAAGUGGAGGUGGAGGUAGAGAGCAUGGAUAAGGCUGGCAACUUCAUUGGCUGGCUACACAUGGAUGGGGCUAACCUGUCUGUCUUGCUGGUGGAGCACGCGCUCUCCAAGGUCCACUUCACUGCUGAGCGCAGCGCCUACUAUAAGCCUCUCCUGUCUGCUGAGGAAGCUGCCAAGCAGAGGAAAGAGAAGGUCUGGGCCCACUAUGAGGAGCAGCCUGUGGAGGAGGUAAUGCCUGUACUGGAAGAGAAGGAGCGCUCGGCCAGCUACAAGCCAGUGUUUGUGACCGAGAUCACAGAUGACCUGCAUUUCUAUGUGCAAGAUGUGGAGACUGG